UGCAAGUCGAGGGGUAUAUUUCUUCGGAGAUAGAGACCGGCGCACGGGUGCGUAACGCGUAUGCAAUCUACCUUUUACAGAGGGAUAGCCCAGAGAAAUUUGGAUUAAUACCUCAUAGUAUUAUGAAAUGGCAUCAUUUUAUAAUUAAAGUCACAACGGUAAAAGAUGAGCAUGCGUCCCAUUAGCUAGUUGGUAAGGUAACGGCUUACCAAGGCUACGAUGGGUAGGGGUCCUGAGAGGGAGAUCCCCCACACUGGUACUGAGACACGGACCAGACUCCUACGGGAGGCAGCAGUGAGGAAUAUUGGACAAUGGGCGCAAGCCUGAUCCAGCCAUGCCGCGUGCAGGAUGACGGUCCUAUGGAUUGUAAACUGCUUUUAUACGAGAAGAAACACUCCUUCGUGAAGGAAUUUGACGGUAUCGUAAGAAUAAGGAUCGGCUAACUCCGUGCCAGCAGCCGCGGUAAUACGGAGGAUCCAAGCGUUAUCCGGAAUCAUUGGGUUUAAAGGGUCCGUAGGCGGUUUAGUAAGUCAGUGGUGAAAGCCCAUCGCUCAACGGUGGAACGGCCAUUGAUACUGCUAAACUUGAAUUAUUAGGAAGU
rnacentral:rRNA from 1 species